GCCUCCUUAGCUCAGCUGGUAGAGCAACUGACUUGUAAUCAGUAGGUCGCUGGUUCGAUUCCGGCAGGGGGCUC
rnacentral:tRNA from 1 species